ACGUAGGGCAAUAGGUUUUUAAGACGGGAUAAAUUUCUCUAAAACAAAUGAACCCUAGGUAGCUUUCCUUUCAAGUGUCUUGC
rnacentral:pre_miRNA from 1 species